UUUCACACAUUCAGGUGCUAAUUUUCGACGACGGUUUACGUUACCGGUGAACCAAAACCCCAAAAAUAUAACCAUAUGCUACAUAUCCUCUCCUUGUGAGAAACUCUUGGUUACGUCUUCACGUUAGAAACCUCUCGUAGAACUCGAAACACUUUCCCGACGAACCUACUUGUUUUCCGGCGCCUCCUUUAUCGGGUUUUAUUUUACAUCAGGCAGGAUUUCGUGAUCUCUAGGCGUAUUUUCUUAUCUUAAUAAUUGUGAUCAUCGCUUAAGACCCAUCAUUGUGGCAUAAAAUGAUGUUAUCAAGACAAUCUGGGACGGGAUAUAGAAGAGUGCUCGAGUAUAUGAAAAAGACCGUAGAAAUAAUGUACUGGAUUAGAUAUCCUAUUUCCAUUAAGUUGUAA
rnacentral:lncRNA from 1 species